rnacentral:tRNA from 1 species
GACGCUUUGGCCGAGUGGUUAAGGCGUGUGCCUGCUAAGUACAUGGGCUCUGCCCGCGAGAGUUCGAAUCUCUCAGGCGUCGCCA